rnacentral:tmRNA from 1 species
GGGGGCGUACAGGUUUCGACAGGAAGAGGAUUUACUAUAGUAGCGAGUCGUGUUUAUCAUAUCUGGGGUACACGUUAAAGAACUGGGUAUACAAAUUUUAAAUGCUGAUAAUAAUUUAGCUUACGCUGCGUAAUAAUCGCAGCUACUGUUAUAGGAGGUUUGGUCUCAGCAGCUUAUAACGGUCACUAACUAAGACCCUCUUGUAAAGGAUGUUCCGACUUGAAUAGAGUAAAUUGGAAAUAACUCAAAUAUUAGCGUGUCAUUGCGCGAAUAUGCGAGUGAAAAUUAAAGCAAUGUCUGCACUCGGAGAAGCUAUUUUAAAUAUCUUUUUGGACGUGGGUUCGAUUCCCACCGCCUUCACCA